UACGUAGGGGGCUAGCGUUGUCCGGAAUCAUUGGGCGUAAAGCGCGUGUAGGCGGUUCGGUAAGUCCGCUGUGAAAGUCGGGGGCUCAACCCUCGGAUGCCGGUGGAUACUGUCGGACUAGAGUACGGAAGAGGCGAGUGGAAUUCCUGGUGUAGCGGUGGAAUGCGCAGAUAUCAGGAGGAACACCGAUGGCGAAGGCGGGUCUCUGGGCCGAUACUGACGCUGAGGAGCGAAAGCGUGGGGAGCGAACAGG
rnacentral:rRNA from 1 species